rnacentral:lncRNA from 10 species
GGUGAUCCACCCACCUCAGCUUCCUAAAGUGCUGGGAUUAUAGGCGUGAGCCACAACACCUAGGCUCUUUCUUCUUUUAAACUUUCAUUAUGUAUUCAUGUACUUUUUGUUUCCCCCAGGUUUACAAAGGUGUAACUGACAUUUCAACGUUGCAGGCAUUCGUAGCGCACACCGUGAUGUUUCUAUAUGUGCCUACACUUGCGUGCUUUAUUUCUUCACAGCAGGCUGAGAUGUGUAAGCUCAGAAGCAAAACCUUUACACAUCCAAUUCUUUAAGAAGUAACCCAAACAAGGAAAUCUGUAGCCGUUUAGUGCCUGCCUGCUUUGUGUACCUGGUGAAGCCUCACCAACACUGUUACCUCUUGAUAAAUUGCAGCCCUGCAGUGGGAAGGCCUCAGCCACUGCUGCCUGCCGGUCAGCGUCAGCAGACACGAG